rnacentral:rRNA from 1 species
AACAGGAUUAGAUACCCUGGUAGUCCACGCCGUAAACGAUGUCGACUUGGAGGUUGUUCCCUUGAGGAGCGGCUUCCGGAGCUAACGCGUUAAGUCGACCGCCUGGGGAGUACGGCCGCAAGGUUAAAACUCAAAUGAAUUGACGGGGGCCCGCACAAGCGGUGGAGCAUGUGGUUUAAUUCGAUGCAACGCGAAGAACCUUACCUACUCUUGACAUCCAGCGAACUUAGCAGAGAUGCUUUGGUGCCUUCGGGAACGCUGAGACAGGUGCUGCAUGGCUGUCGUCAGCUCGUGUUGUGAAAUGUUGGGUUAAGUCCCGCAACGAGCGCAACCCUUAUCCUUUGUUGCCAGCGAUUCGGUCGGGAACUCAAAGGAGACUGCCGGUGAUAAACCGGAGGAAGGUGGGGAUGACGUCAAGUCAUCAUGGCCCUUACGAGUAGGGCUACACACGUGCUACAAUGGCGCAUACAAAGAGAAGCGACCUCGCGAGAGCAAGCGGACCUCACAAAGUGCGUCGUAGUCCGGAUCGGAGUCUGCAACUCGACUCCGUGAAGUCGGAAUCGCUAGUAAUCGUGGAUCAGAAUGCCACGGUGAAUACGUUCCCGGGCCUUGUACACACCGCCCGUCACACCAUGGGAGUGGGUUGCAAAAGAAGUAGGUAGCUUAACCUUCGGGAGGGCGCUUACCACUUUGUGAUUCAUGACUGGGGUGAAGUCGUAACAAGGUAACC